rnacentral:rRNA from 1 species
UCGUAAACAUGCAGUCGUACGAGAAAUCCUGGGCAACUGGGAGAGUAAAGUGGCGCACGGGUGAGUAACGCGUGGGUAACCUACCCUUGAAUUGGGGAUAACUCUUCGAAAGGGGAGUUAAUACCGAAUAAUAUUGCAAUUCCUUCGGGGAUUGGAAUCAAAGGUGGCCUCUGCAUGCAAGCUAUCGUUUAAGGAUGGGCCCGCGUACCAUUAGCUAGUUGGUAGGGUAAUGGCCUACCAAGGCAACGAUGGUUAGCUGGUCUGAGAGGAUGGCCAGCCACACUGGAACUGAGAUACGGUCCAGACUCCUACGGGAGGCAGCAGUGGGGAAUCUUGCGCAAUGGGGGAAACCCUGACGCAGCAACGCCGCGUGGGUGAUGAAGGCCUUCGGGUCGUAAAGCCCUGUCAGGUGGGAAGAAACUUGUGGAUGUUAAUACCGUCCACACUUGACGGUACCACCGGAGGAAGCACCGGCUAACUCCGUGCCAGCAGCCGCGGUAAUACGGAGGGUGCAAGCGUUGUUCGGAAUUAUUGGGCGUAAAGCGCGUGUAGGUGGUCAGGUAAGUCAGAUGUGAAAGCCUUCUGCUUAACAGAAGAAGUGCAUUUGAAACUGCUUGGCUAGAGUACGGGAGAGGAGAGUGGAAUUCCCGGUGUAGAGGUGAAAUUCGUAGAUAUCGGGAGGAACACCAGUGGCGAAGGCGGCUCUCUGGUCCGAUACUGACGCUGAGACGCGAAAGCGUGGGGAGCAAACAGGAUUAGAUACCCUGGUAGUCCACGCCGUAAACGAUGGGCACUAGGUGUAGGAGGUAUUGACCCCUUCUGUGCCGAAGCUAACGCAUUAAGUGCCCCGCCUGGGGAGUACGGCCGCAAGGCUA